CCUACGGGAGGCAGCAGUGAGGAAUAUUGGUCAAUGGCCGUAAGGCUGAACCAGCCAAGUCGCGUGAAGGAAGAAGGAUCUAUGGUUUGUAAACUUCUUUUAUAGGGGAAUAAAGGUAUCCACGUGGGGAUAUUUCCAUUUACCCUAUGAAUAACCAUCGGCUAACUCCGUGCCAGCAGCAGCGGUAAUACGGAGGGGCCGAGCGUUAUCGGGAUUGAUUGGGUUUAAAGGGUGCGUAGGUUGUUUUGUAAGUCAGCUGUGAAAGUUGGUGGUUUAACCCUAAAAUUGCCGUUGAUACUGGAAGACGUGAGUGUGUUUGAGGUAGGCGGAAUGCGUGGUGUAGCGGUGAAAUGCAUAGAUAUCACGCAGAACGCCGAUUGCGAAGGCAGCUUACUAAGCUAUAACUGACACUGAGGCACGAAAGCGUGGGGAUCAAACAGGAUUAGAUACCCCAGUAGUC
rnacentral:rRNA from 1 species